AAGGUAAAGGGAUUUUGUUUGUUUGUCCUGCGAAAGCUUUUUUGUUUGGUUAGUUUUCAUUGAGAUGCUUGAAGCGUGAGAUGUUUCCACCAGCGAGAAAAAAUAGCGUCGAAAUUUCCGUUUACGAAGUUGUUAGUGAAAGCGAAAGUGCGCGUGUGAGUGCCUCUGGCAGUCCAACUAGCAGUAGUAGUUGUUGUGAGCGUUUGAAGAAGAUGACAGCGGGACUUCUAUAUUUGGCGACGGCAAAUCACAAUCAAGACAAGGCGUUGAGUUUGGGCAUUGGUCGCGCUCACUUCGAGAAACAGCCGCCGAGUAAUUUACGCAAAUCAAACUUUUUCCACUUCGUAAUUGCGUUAUACGAUCGUGCCGGGCAACCGAUUGAAAUCGAACGCACCGCAUUUAUUGGUUUUAUCGAAAAGGAUUCAGAAUCGGAUGCGACAAAAACAAAUAAUGGCAUACAAUAUCGGCUGCAGUUGCUCUAUGCGAAUGGUGCGCGUCAGGAGCAGGACAUAUUUGUGCGACUCAUCGAUUCGGUGACAAAGCAGGCGAUUAUUUACGAAGGACAAGAUAAAAAUCCGGAAAUGUGUCGCGUACUGUUGACACACGAGGUUAUGUGCAGUCGCUGUUGUGAUAAAAAAAGUUGUGGCAACCGCAAUGAGACACCAUCAGAUCCUGUCAUUAUUGAUCGAUUUUUCCUAAAAUUCUUUUUGAAAUGCAAUCAAAACUGUUUAAAAAAUGCCGGCAACCCCAGAGAUAUGAGACGCUUUCAGGUUGUCAUCUCCACUCAAGUGACCGUUGAUGGCCCACUACUGGCUAUAUCCGAUAAUAUGUUCGUACACAACAAUUCGAAACAUGGACGCCGCGCCAAACGUUUGGACACCACGGAAGGUACAGGAAACUCCUCCCUGUCCUUAACGGGUCACCCACUUGCGCCUGACAGUACCUAUGAUGGUCUUUAUCCACCAUUGCCUGUGGCCACGCCCUGCAUCAAAGCUAUUUCGCCCAGCGAGGGUUGGACCUCUGGCGGCGCAACCGUUAUUAUUGUGGGUGAUAAUUUCUUUGAUGGCCUCCAAGUGGUCUUCGGCACAAUGCUCGUUUGGAGCGAAUUGAUUACAUCGCAUGCCAUUCGUGUGCAAACACCACCACGUCACAUACCCGGUGUGGUGGAGGUGACUUUGUCGUAUAAGAGCAAACAGUUCUGCAAGGGUUCGCCUGGCCGAUUUGUCUAUGUUUCGCUCAAUGAGCCGACCAUCGAUUACGGUUUUCAACGUUUGCAAAAGCUCAUACCGCGUCAUCCUGGCGAUCCAGAGAAAUUACAAAAGGAAAUCAUACUCAAACGCGCAGCCGAUUUGGUCGAGGCCUUGUACUCCAUGCCAAGAUCUCCCGGCGGUUCGACCGGCUUCAAUUCAUACACCGGCCAGCUGGCUGUAAGCGUUCAGGAUACCGCUGGCCAAUGGACCGAAGACGACUAUCAGCGCGCCCAAUCGAGCAGCGUGAGUCCACGUGGCGGCUAUUGCAGCAGCGCUUCGACGCCACACAGUUCGGGCGGCUCUUAUGGCGCUACGGUGGCCGCUAAUGGCUAUGGCCCCACAACCAAUAUGGGCAGUGCCUUUUCGCCAUUAAUCUCAACAGUGUCGUCACCGUGGCAUCAGGCGCUAGUGCAACACCACCACACACAUCCGCACCACUACCACCACCAUGCGCACCAGCCGUGGCACAAUCCAGCCGCCUCAAUCGCAACCGCCGCCGUGUAGAGCGUUCGGAGCGUGCAGCCCGAGAGUUACGUGCAUUUGCUCCGUGAAAAGUUAACGGAGUGAGCGGCCUCAGCUUCAAUCCAUUCACGCUGCCAACGUGCAACACCCAAGGCUAUGGCACAAGCCAACUGGUGACAUCGACCAAA
rnacentral:misc_RNA from 1 species